rnacentral:tRNA from 1 species
CAAAGUGUAGUGUAAUAAAAACAUUUCGCUUACACCGAAAAAAUACCAGCGAAUAGACCUGGUCGCUUUGA